GAUGAAGAACGCAGCGAAAUGCGAUACUUGGUGUGAAUUGCAGAAUCCCGUGAACCAUCGAGUCUUUGAACGCAAGUUGCGCCCGAAGCCACUAGGCCGAGGGCACGCCUGCCUGGGCGUCACACGCCGUUGCCCCCCCAUCUACUCCUUCGGGAUUGCGGGGGGGCGGAUGAUGGCCUCCCGUGCGCCUAGCCGCGCGGUUGGCAUAAAUACCAAGUCCUCGGCGACGCACGCCACGACAAUCGGUGGUUGCGAAACCUCGGUUGCCCGUCGUGUGCGUUCGUCGCGCAUCGAGGGCUCGAAAAAAUGCUCGGCUCCGGCUGGGCAUUCAACGCGACCCCAGGUCAGGCGGGGUUACCCGCUGAAUUUAAGCAUAUCAAUAAGCGGAGGA
rnacentral:misc_RNA from 1 species